rnacentral:rRNA from 1 species
UACGUAGGGGGCGAGCGUUAUCCGGAAUUAUUGGGCGUAAAGAGUGCGUAGGUGGUUACCUAAGCGCAGGGUUUAAGGCAAUGGCUCAACCAUUGUAUGCCUUGCGAACUGGGCUACUUGAGUGAUGGAGAGGCAGGCGGAAUUCCCGGUGUAGCGGUGGAAUGCGUAGAUAUCGGGAGGAACACCAGUGGCGAAGGCGACUUACUGGACCGUAACUGACACUGAGGCACGAAAGCGUGGGUAGCAAACA